rnacentral:rRNA from 1 species
AGCGAACGCUGGCGGCAGGCCUAAUACAUGCAAGUCGAGCGCACCUUCGGGUGAGCGGCGGACGGGUGAGUAACGCGUGGGAACGUGCCCUUUGGUUCGGAACAACACAGGGAAACUUGUGCUAAUACCGAAUGUGCCCUUCGGGGGAAAGAUUUAUCGCCAUUGGAGCGGCCCGCGUUGGAUUAGGUAGUUGGUGGGGUAAAGGCCCACCAAGCCGACGAUCCAUAGCUGGUCUGAGAGGAUGAUCAGCCACACUGGGACUGAGACACGGCCCAGACUCCUACGGGAGGCAGCAGUAGGGAAUCUUGCGCAAUGGGCGAAAGCCUGACGCAGCCAUGCCGCGUGAAUGAUGAAGGUCUUAGGAUUGUAAAAUUCUUUCACCGGGGAAGAUAAUGACGGUACCCGGAGAAGAAGCCCCGGCUAACUUCGUGCCAGCAGCCGCGGUAAUACGAAGGGGGCUAGCGUUGCUCGGAAUUACUGGGCGUAAAGGGCGCGUAGGCGGAUAGUUUAGUCAGAGGUGAAAGCCCAGGGCUCAACCUUGGAACUGCCUUUGAUACUGGCUAUCUUGAGUUCGGGAGAGGUGAGUGGAAUGCCGAGUGUAGAGGUGAAAUUCGUAGAUAUUCGGCGGAACACCAGUGGCGAAGGCGACUCACUGGCCCGAUACUGACGCUGAGGCGCGAAAGCGUGGGGAGCAAACAG